rnacentral:rRNA from 1 species
UCACACAAGAAACCCAAAUUAAUCGUAUACGGCGUAAAGAGUGGACCCAUGAUUAUCAGAGCAAUUAAGGCCAAAAUGCAGCUAGGCUGUCAUAAGCUUAAGGUGCACCUAAAACCACCCUAAAAAUGACCUUAACAUAAGCGAUAAAUUAAACUCCACGAAAGCCAGGGCACAAACUGGGAUUAGAUACCCCACUAUGCCUGGCCCUAAAUCUUGAUGCCCACACUACCAAAGCAUCCGCCCGAGAACUACGAGCACAAACGCUUAAAACUCUAAGGACUUGGCGGUGCCCCAAACCCACCUAGAGGAGCCUGUUCUAUAAUCGACAACCCACGAUACACCCGACCACUUCUUGCCAAAAACAGCCUACAUACCGCCGUCGCCAGCCCACCUUAACUGAGAGAACAGUAGUGAGCUCAAUUGCCCUUACCCCGCCAAUAAGACAGGUCAAGGUAUAGCCCAUGAAGUGGGAGAAAUGGGCUACAUUUUCUAUAUUAGAAAACCCUACGGAAGGGGACAUGAAACCUUCCCCCGAAGGUGGAUUUAGCAGUAAAGCGGGACAAUAAAGCCCUCUUUAAAUUGGCUCUGAGGCACGUACAUACCGCCCGUCACCCUCCUCACAAGCCCAAAACCCCCAUAAAUAAUGCGCCCUCUCGCUAAAGAUGAGGCAAGUCGUAACAAGGUAAGUGUACCGG